AAAUUGAAGAGUUUGAUCAUGGCUCAGAUUGAACGCUGGCGGCAGGCCUAACACAUGCAAGUCGAACGGUAACAGGAAUCAGCUUGCUGAUUCGCUGACGAGUGGCGGACGGGUGAGUAAUGUCUGGGAAACUGCCUGAUGGAGGGGGAUAACUACUGGAAACGGUAGCUAAUACCGCAUAACGUCGCAAGACCAAAGAGGGGGAC
rnacentral:rRNA from 1 species